rnacentral:rRNA from 1 species
CAGUAGCCGCGGUAAUACGGAGGGUGCGAGCGUUAAUCGGAUUUACUGGGCGUAAAGCGUGCGUAGGCGGCUAAUUGAGUCGGAUGUGAAAUCCCCGAGCUUAACUUGGGAAUUGCAUUCGAUACUGGUUAGCUAGAGUGUGGGAGAGGAUGGUAGAAUUCCAGGUGUAGCGGUGAAAUGCGUAGAGAUCUGGAGGAAUACCGAUGGCGAAGGCAGCCAUCUGGCCUAACACUGACGCUGAGGUACGAAAGCAUGGGGAGCAAACAGGAUUAGAUACCCCGGUAGUCCCUGUCUCUUAUAC